AUGAAAAUCGUGAGCUGGAACUGCCGGGGGCUCGGGAACGGCCCGACAAUUCAUUCUCUUCUCGAUCUGGGAAGAGUGGAGGAACCCGACAUUUUGUUUUUGUGUGAAACUAGACUGGAGGAGAAGGAACUUGACCGUUUUAGAUGGAUGCUUGGACUCGUUCACAUGUGUUCCUGGAAGGGGGAAGGGAGGAGUCGAGGGGUAGCAAUGUUUUGGAGAAGGGAGGUGGAUGUGACUCUGCGUUCGUUUGGGAGGAGGCAUAUUGAUGUAGAUGUGAAGAUGGAGGAUGUGCUAGUGUGGAGGCUCACGGGCAUGUAUGGGGAAUCGGCUAUGGAAAUAAAAAAAGAGACAUGGAGGACACUACGGCUCUUAAAACAGCAACACCAAGGAGGGAGACCUUGGCUCUGUAUUGGUGACUUCAAUGAGAUACUGACGAGUACAGAGAAAACAUGAGGUGCAGCUCGACCCCAACACUAUCUAGAUGGCUUCCGGGAGGCUAUGCAAGCUUGUGAACUUGAGGAUAUUGGGUUCAAAGGAGAUAUGUAUACAUGGAGGAACCAUAGCAAAGAAUUACGUACAUAUAUCUGCGAGAGGCUAGACAGAGCCAUAGCAAAUGAGGAGUGGUGCACGUAGUUCCCGAACCAUGCAGUCAUUAAUGGACCGCCUAGACACUCUGAUCAUCGGCCUAUUGUGGUUAACACUGAAAGCAUGGACAGGGAGUGGAAGCCUGGGGAUGGGGUUUUUCUCUUUGAGGCUAGGUGGCUGCAGGAGGAUGGAUGUGAAGAUAUAAUCAGGGGAGCUUGGGAGAGCAGUAGGGAAGCGGGUGUAGGAGGGGUAGCCGAAGCGUUACGCAUAGUGGCAGGAGAUGUUAGCAGGUGGACUAAGGAGGUGGUGGGGGAGUUGGAAGGACGGCUUAGGAAGGCAAGGAACGACUUGGAGGUUUGCAUGCGAGAGGCUGUGUCGGAUCAUAAGAUCAGAGAAGAGGCUAGGUUGAGAUGCCUGGUUGAGGAACUGGAGGAGAAGAAACAUACAAAACUCAAACAAAGAGCUCAUAUGUGGUGGCUUCAAGAUGAUAACUGAAACAUCAAAUACCUCGAGUCAGUGGCCUCGGCGAGGAAGAAGAGGAACAGAAUUAAGGAGUUA
rnacentral:rRNA from 1 species